rnacentral:rRNA from 1 species
UUGUACAGGUGCUGCAUGGCUGUCGUCAGCUCGUGUCGUGAGAUGUUCGGUUAAGUCCGCUAACGAGCGCAACCCUCGCUUGUGUGUUACAAGUGUCACACGGAACUGCCGGUACAUAAACCGGAGGAAGGUGGGGAUGACGUCAAGUCAGCAUGGCCUUUAUAUCCUGGGCUACACACACGCUACAAUGGGAAGGGACAAUAGGUUGCGAAGCCGCGAGGCGGAGCCAAUCCAGCAAAACUUCCCUCAGUUCAGAUUGCAGGCUGCAACCCGCCUGCAUGAAGAUGGAGUUGCUAGUAACCGCAGGUCAGCUAUACUGCGGUGAAUACGUUCCCGGGGCUU